GCAUUGGUAGUUCAGUGGUAGGUAGAAUUCUCACAUUCCAUGCAGGAGACGCAGGUUCAAUUCCUGGCCAGUGUA
rnacentral:tRNA from 1 species